rnacentral:rRNA from 1 species
UGGCGGCGUGCCUAAUACAUGCAAGUCGAGCGAACAGACGAGGAGCUUGCUCCUCUGACGUUAGCGGCGGACGGGUGAGUAACACGUGGAUAACCUACCUAUAAGACUGGGAUAACUUCGGGAAACCGGAGCUAAUACCGGAUAAUAUAUUGAACCGCAUGGUUCAAUAGUGAAAGACGGUUUUGCUGUCACUUAUAGAUGGAUCCGCGCCGCAUUAGCUAGUUGGUAAGGUAACGGCUUACCAAGGCAACGAUGCGUAGCCGACCUGAGAGGGUGAUCGGCCACACUGGAACUGAGACACGGUCCAGACUCCUACGGGAGGCAGCAGUAGGGAAUCUUCCGCAAUGGGCGAAAGCCUGACGGAGCAACGCCGCGUGAGUGAUGAAGGUCUUCGGAUCGUAAAACUCUGUUAUUAGGGAAGAACAAAUGUGUAAGUAACUAUGCACGUCUUGACGGUACCUAAUCAGAAAGCCACGGCUAACUACGUGCCAGCAGCCGCGGUAAUACGUAGGUGGCAAGCGUUAUCCGGAAUUAUUGGGCGUAAAGCGCGCGUAGGCGGUUUUUUAAGUCUGAUGUGAAAGCCCACGGCUCAACCGUGGAGGGUCAUUGGAAACUGGAAAACUUGAGUGCAGAAGAGGAAAGUGGAAUUCCAUGUGUAGCGGUGAAAUGCGCAGAGAUAUGGAGGAACACCAGUGGCGAAGGCGACUUUCUGGUCUGUAACUGACGCUGAUGUGCGAAAGCGUGGGGAUCAAACAGGAUUAGAU